UUUUUUUUUUGUAUUUUCUGAAGUUUCAUUUAGUCCACUUAUUUUAUUUAAUUCAUAAUAAAUCCAUUUGUAAUCCAAAAAAUAUGGUACUUUCACCAAAAAUCUUUAAAUAUUUUUCUCUUCCAUAUUUUUAAUUAAAAAUAUUUUUUGGAUAAAUUUUGGUAUUUUUCAGGAAUUAAAUUUUUGUGUGCAUUUUUUUAAUUGUUUUAAAAUACUUAUGACUUUCUAAAAGUUGUGAAAUUUUUUGUCUAAGUUCCUUUGACCUUGUUUGACCUAGGAAAAAU
rnacentral:lncRNA from 1 species